rnacentral:rRNA from 2 species
GGACUGAGACACGGCCCAAACUCCUACGGGAGGCAGCAGUGGGGAAUAUUGGACAAUGGGGGAAACCCUGAUCCAGCGACGCCGCGUGAGUGAAGAAGUGUUUCGGCAUGUAAAGCUCUAUCAGCAGGGAAGAAAAUGACGGUACCUGACUAAGAAGCCCCGGCUAACUACGUGCCAGCAGCCGCGGUAAUACGUAGGGGGCAAGCGUUAUCCGGAUUUACUGGGUGUAAAGGGAGCGUAGACGGUUCUGCAAGUCUGGAGUGAAAGCCCGGGGCUCAACCCCGGGACUGCUUUGGAAACUGUGGAACUAGAGUGCAGGAGAGGUAAGUGGAAUUCCUAGUGUAGCGGUGAAAUGCGUAGAUAUUAGGAGGAACACCAGUGGCGAAGGCGGCUUACUGGACUGUGACUGACGUUGAGGCUCGAAGCGUGGGGAGAAACAGGAUUAGUACCCUGGUAGUCCACGCCGUAACGAUGAUACUAGGUGUUGGGGAGCAAAGUCUUCGGU